rnacentral:rRNA from 1 species
AUUGAACGCUGGAGGCAGGCUUAACACAUGCAAGUCGAGCGAGCGGCGGACGGGGGAGUAAUGUCUGGGAAACUGACUGAUGGAGGGGGAUAACUACUGGAAACGGUAGCUAAUACCGCAUACCAUCAGAUGUGCCCAGGUGGGAAUGGCUAGUAGGGGGGGUAAAGGCUCACCUAGGCGCCGAUCCCUAGCUGGUCUGGGAGGAUGACCAGCCACACGGGAACGGAGACACGGUCCAGACGCCUACGGGAGGCAGCGGUGGUGAAUAUUGCACAAUGGGCGCAAGCCUGAGGCAGCCAUGCCGCGUGUGUGAAGAAGGCCUUCGGGUUGUAAAGCACUUUCAGCGAGGAGGCGUUACUCGCAGAAGAAGCACCGGCUAACUCCGUGCCAGCAGCCGCGGUAAUAC